UACGGAGGGUGCAAGCGUUAUCCGGAUUCACUGGGUUUAAAGGGUGCGUAGGUGGCUUUGUAAGUCAGUGGUGAAAGCCCGGAGCUCAACUCCGGAACUGCCAUUGAUACUGCUUAGCUUGAAUCACGUCGAGGUGGAUGGAAUAAUACAUGUAGCGGUGAAAAUGCUUAGAUAUGUAUUAGAACACCGAUUGCGAAGGCAGUUCACUAGGCGUGUAUUGACACUGAGGCACGAAAGCGUGGGGGAUCAAACAGG
rnacentral:rRNA from 1 species